rnacentral:misc_RNA from 1 species
GAUGAAGAACGCAGCGAAAUGCGAUACGUAAUGUGAAUUGCAGAAUUCAGUGAAUCAUCGAAUCUUUGAACGCAUAUUGCGCCUUCUGGUAUUCCGGAGGGCAUGCUUGUUUGAGUAUCAGUAACAACCUCAACUCUUCUUCAUUGCGGAGAUAGAGUUGGAUUUGAGCAUUUCCACAAGUUCGUCUUGGAGGAUUGCUUGAAAUAUGAGGUUCGGCCGGCAGUUGCCUGGGCUACAAGCAUUUCAUACUUAAUCCCGUCAAACGGAUUAUAUCCUUUGCUGCAGCCAACAUACAGGGUAACUUUGCCAGUGUUCCGACUGAUGCAGGAAAGUUGAGAACAGCUUUUUGCUUUCUCUUCUAAACUCGAUCUCAAAUCAAGUAAGACUACCCGCUGAACUUAAGCAUAUCAAUAACGGAGGA